rnacentral:tRNA from 1 species
CUCCGCAUAGCUCAGUUGGUUUAGAGCACUUGACUUUUAAUCAAGAUGUCGAGAGUUCGAAUCUCUCUGCGGAGA